AUCAACUUUCGAUGGUAGGAUAGAGGCCUACCAUGGUGGUAACGGGUAACGGGGUGUUAGGGCACGACACCGGAGAGGGAGCCUGAGAAACGGCUACCACAUCCAAGGAUGGCAGCAGGCGCGCAAAUUACCCAAUCCCGACACGGGGAGGUAGUGACAAUAAAUAACAAUACGGGGUUCUUUCGGAUCUCGUAAUUGGAAUGAGUACAAUUUAAAUCUCUUAACGAGGAACAAUUGGAGGGCAAGUCUGGUGCCAGCAGCCGCGGUAAUUCCAGCUCCAAUAGCGUAUAUUAAAGUUGUUGCAGUUAAAAAGCUCGUAGUUGAAUUUCGGGGUCAGUAGGUUGGUCGUGCCACAGGUAUGAACUGGUCUCACUGAUUCCUCCUUCCUGAUGAACCGUAAUGCCAUUAAUUUGGUGUUGUGGGGAGACUGGACUGUUACUUUGAAAAAAUUAGAGUGUUUAAAGCAGGCUAACGCUUGAAUACAUUAGCAUGGAAUAAUGAAAUAGGACGUUCGGUCUUAUUUUGUUGGUUUCUAAGAUUGACGUAAUGAUUAAUAGGGAUAGUUGGGGGCAUUAGUAUUCAAUUGUCAGAGGUGAAAUUCUUGGAUUUAUUGAAGACUAACUACUGCGAAAGCAUUUGCCAAGGAUGUUUUCAUUAAUCAAGAACGAAAGUUAGGGGAUCGAAGACGAUCAGAUACCGUCGUAGUCUUAACCAUAAACUAUGCCGACUAGGGAUCGGAUGAUGUUAUUUUUAAUGACUCAUUCGGCGCCUUACGGGAAACCAAAGUGUUUGGGUUC
rnacentral:rRNA from 1 species